AAGCCUCUGCUAAUGUGUACCUAGUUAAUACUAAGUGACCCAUAGGUUGAGGAGGCGGUGACCGUGGUGGUGGAGGAGGAUGAAGUAGCCAACACAGCUUUUUAUGUUUUUUUUUUUUUAUUGUGGUAGCCCACAAAAUAUUGGAACAUACAAAAAAAGAAACAUUUUGUUGACUGUAGAGAACCUCGGUCCAAUCGCACAUUCCUGUGACUGCGACUUUGCAUUUGGAUGUCAUCCAUAUCAACUUUCGAUGCCAGUUUCUGCACCUACCAUGGUGACCACGAGUAACAGGGAAUCAGGGUUCCAUUCCGUACAGGGACCCUGAGAAAUGGCUACCACAUGCAAGGAAGGCA